GACCCUUCCAGUGGCCUAGUAGUUAGAUCAUCUGCCUCAGGUACAGGAGGUCAUGGGUUCGAUCCCUGGCUGAGUCA